rnacentral:rRNA from 1 species
UACGUAGGGUGCGAGCGUUAAUCGGAAUUACUGGGCGUAAAGCGUGCGCAGGCGGUUCGUUGUGUCGGCGGUGAAAGCCCCGGGCUCAACCUGGGAAUGGCCGUUGAAACUGGCGAACUGGAGUGUGGCAGAGGGGGGUGGAAUUCCGCGUGUAGCAGUGAAAUGCGUAGAGAUGUGGAGGAACACCGAUGGCGAAAGCAGCCCCCUGGGCCAACACUGACGCUCAGGCACGAAAGCGUGGGGAGCAAACAGG